CAAGAGUGGAUAAUGAUUCCAUUUACUUGAUUAAAAAACGGAAAAGAAGAACACAAUAUCAAGUUCUCUUUGAAAGGAAGAUUCCAGGGGUUGAAAAAGUAAUUUAUACAAUAAAUGCGAAAUCUAUUAGGAAAGAAGCCUUGAUUCUAGUGUAAAAAUUUUGAGGGCGGAGAGGGAGAGAGAGAGAGUAUUGAAGCACGGAAUAUGAGAUGAAGUGCUAAGACAACAACACAGAACUACUUUACACUUUACGCUUUAAAAGGAAAAAAUGGGAAGGGGGGUGGGGGAAAGCAAGAAACUGGCAGUUUUUUGGCAACUCUCUGGAUCAGUAUAGUAAACUUAGUUUCAAAGUAAAUCAAAAGUGAAAAACAAGAUGGUUGAUUCUUCUGAAUCCAUAAGUCAGCUGUUAAUAUUAAAGUACAGAUGCUAGCAGGAAAAAAGAUUGAGUGACAUUUGCAUACCAUGUCAAGAAAGAACCAAAAGAAGGCAACGCAUUACCUAGUUCCAGAAAGGCAUGCACGCACA
rnacentral:misc_RNA from 1 species